AGGAUUAACGCUGGCGGCGUGCCUAACACAUGCAAGUCGAACGAGGUAGCAAUACCUAGUGGCAGACGGGUGAGUAGCGCGUGGUCAACCUACCGUUGAGUGGGGGAUAACUAGCCGAAAGGUUAGCUAAUACCGCAUACGUCUCCGAGGGGCAUCCCUUGGUGAUAAAAAGGAGCAAUCCGCUCGAUGACGGGACCGCGUCCCAUUAGCUAGUUGGUGGGGUAACGGCCUACCAAGGCAUCGAUGGGUAGCUGGUUUGAGAGAGCGACCAGCCACACUGGGACUGAGAUACGGCCCAGACUCCUACGGGAGGCAGCAGUGAGGAAUUUUCCGCAAUGGGCGAAAGCCUGACGGAGCGACGCCGCGUGUGGGAAGAAGGCCUUCGGGUCGUAACCCCUUUCAGCAGGGACGAAGCGAAGUGACGGUACCUGCAGAAGAAGCGCCGGCUAACUACGUGCCAGCAGCCGC
rnacentral:rRNA from 1 species